AGUGAACGCUGGCGGUAGGCCUAACACAUGCAAGUCGAACGGCAGCACAGUAAGAGCUUGCUCUUACGGGUGGCGAGUGGCGGACGGGUGAGGAAUACAUCGGAAUCUACUUUUUCGUGGGGGAUAACGUAGGGAAACUUACGCUAAUACCGCAUACGACCUACGGGUGAAAGCAGGGGAUCUUCGGACCUUGCGCGAUUGAAUGAGCCGAUGUCGGAUUAGCUAGUUGGCGGGGUAAAGGCCCACCAAGGCGACGAUCCGUAGCUGGUCUGAGAGGAUGAUCAGCCACACUGGAACGGAGACACGGUCCAGACUCCUACGGGAGGAAGCAGUGGGGAAUAUUGGACAAUGGGCGCAAACCUGAUCCAGCCAUACCGCGUGGGUGAAGAAGGCCUUCGGGUUGUAAAGCCCUUUUGUUGGGAAAGAAAAGCAGCAGGUUAAUACCCCGCUGUUCUGACGGUACCCAAAGAAUAAGCACCGGCUAACUUCGUG
rnacentral:rRNA from 1 species